rnacentral:rRNA from 1 species
CCUACGGGAGGCAGCAGUAAGGAAUAUUGGACAAUGCUCGCAAGAGUGAUCCAGCCAUGCCGCGUGCAGGAAGAAUGCCCUAUGGGUAGUAAACUGCUUUUGAACUAGAGAAAAUCCCAGUACGUGUACUGGGCUGAUAGUAUAGUUAGAAUAAGCAUCGGCUAACUUCGUGCCAGCAGCCGCGGUAAGACGAAGGAUGCAAGCGUUAUCCGGAUUCAUUGGGUUUAAAGGGAGCGUAGGUGGACUGAUAAGUCAGUGGUGAAAUCUCCGAGCUUAACUCGGAAAUUGCCAUUGAUACUGUUGGUCUUGAGUACAGUUGCUGUGGGCGGAAUAUGACAUGUAGUGGUGAAAUACAUAGAGAUGUCAUAGAACACCGAUUGCGAAGGCAGCUCACAAAGCUGUAACUGACACUGAGGCUCGAAAGUGCGGGGAUCAAACAGGAUUAGAUACCCUGGUAGUCCGCACCGUAAACGAUGAUUACUCGCUGCUAGGGGGCAACCGUUUAGUGGCGUUAGCGAAAGCGAUUAAGUUAAUCCACCUUGGGGAGUUACGCCGGCGACGGUUGAACGUUCAAUUGAAUUGACGGCUUGGAGGAGNGCGACGGACGACGACGAGGGAGGAAGG